GACGGUAGGGGGCCAGCGUUGUUCGGAAUUACUGGGUGUAAAGGGUUCGUAGGCGGUGUGGCAAGUCGGGAGUGAAAUCUCUGGGCUCAACUCAAGAGACUGCUUCCGAAACUGCUGUGCUGGAGUGUGGGAGAGGCGCGGUGGAAUUGCAGGUGUAGCGGUGAAAAUGCGUAGAUAUCGGGAGGAACACCUGUGGCGAAAGCGGACGCACUGGACCACAACUGACGCUGAGGCGCGAAAGCUAGGGGAGCAAACAGG
rnacentral:rRNA from 1 species